GGGCGCGAAACUAUUGUACUUGACGUUUGACUUGAUUGUUAACGUCUAGUACAACAAGUUUGGGCCUGU